GGAUAUAGCUCAGGUGGUAGAGUGCUUGCCUAGAAUGCACAGGCCCUGGGUUCAAUCUCCAGCACCA
rnacentral:tRNA from 1 species